UCCCAGGUGGCACAGUGGUAAAGAAUCUGACUGCCAAGCAGGAGAUGUGGGUUUGACCCCUGCAUUGGGAA
rnacentral:tRNA from 1 species